rnacentral:tRNA from 1 species
GCCCGGCUGGCUCGGUUGGUAGAGCAUGUGACUCUUAAUCUCAGGGUCGUGAGUCUGAGCCCCAUGUUGGGUG